rnacentral:rRNA from 1 species
AGUGAACGCUGGCGGUAGGCCUAACACAUGCAAGUCGAACGGCAGCACAGUAAGAGCUUGCUCUUACGGGUGGCGAGUGGCGGACGGGUGAGGAAUACAUCGGAAUCUACUUUUUCGUGGGGGAUAACGUAGGGAAACUUACGCUAAUACCGCAUACGACCUACCGGUGAAAGCAGGGGAUCUUCGGACCUUGCGCGAUUGAAUUAGCCGAUGUCGGAUUAGCUAGUUGGCGGGGUAAAGGCCCACCAAGGCAACGAUCCGUAGCUGGUCUGAGAGGAUGAUCAGCCACACUGGAACUGAGACACGGCCCAGACUCCUACGGGAGGCAGCAGUGGGGAAUAUUGGACAAAGGGCGCAAGCCUGAUCCAGCCAUACCGCGUGGGUGAAGAAGGCCUUCGGGUUGUAAAGCCCUUUUGUUGGGAAAGAAAAGCAGCAGGUUAAUACCCCGCUGUUCUGACGGUACCCAAAGAAUAAGCACCGGCUAACUUCGUG